GUGCCUGUAGCUCAGCCGGAUAGAGUGCUUGGCUACGAACCAAGAGACCGGGGGUUCGAGUCCCUCCAGGCACG
rnacentral:tRNA from 1 species